AUAGGGUCAAGUGAAUAAGUGCAUCAGGCGGAUGCCUUGGCGAUGAUAGGCGACGAAGGACGUGUAAGCCUGCGAAAAGCGCGGGGGAGCUGGCAAUAAAGCUAUGAUUCCGCGAUGUCCGAAUGGGGAAACCCACUGCAUUCUGUGCAGUAUCCUAAGUUGAAUACAUAGGCUUAGAGAAGCGAACCCGGAGAACUGAACCAUCUAAGUACCCGGAGGAAAAGAAAUCAACCGAGAUUCCGCAAGUAGUGGCGAGCGAACGCGGAGGAGCCUGUACGUAAUAACUGUCGAGAUAGAAGAACAAGCUGGGAAGCUUGACCAUAGCGGGUGACAGUCCCGUAUUCGAAAUCUCAACAGCGGUACUAAGCGUACGAAAAGUAGGGCGGGACACGUGAAAUCCUGUCUGAAUAUGGGGGGACCAUCCUCCAAGGCUAAAUACUCAUCAUCGACCGAUAGUGAACCAGUACCGUGAGGGAAAGGCGAAAAGAACCCCGGGAGGGGAGUGAAACAGAACCUGAAACCUGAUGCAUACAAACAGUGGGAGCGCCCUAGUGGUGUGACUGCGUACCUUUUGUAUAAUGGGUCAACGACUUACAUUCAGUAGCGAGCUUAACCGGAUAGGGGAGGCGUAGGGAAACCGAGUCUUAAUAGGGCGAUGAGUUGCUGGGUGCAGACCCGAAACCGAGUGAUCUAUCCAUGGCCAGGUUGAAGGUGCCGUAACAGGUACUGGAGGACCGAACCCACGCAUGUUGCAAAAUGCGGGGAUGAGCUGUGGGUAGGGGUGAAAGGCUAAACAAACUCGGAGAUAGCUGGUUCUCCCCGAAAACUAUUUAGGUAGUGCCUCGAGCAAGACACUGAUGGGGGUAAAGCACUGUUAUGGCUAGGGGGUUAUUGCAACUUACCAACCCAUGGCAAACUCAGAAUACCAUCAAGUGGUUCCUCGGGAGACAGACAGCGGGUGCUAACGUCCGUUGUCAAGAGGGAAACAACCCAGACCGCCGGCUAAGGUCCCAAAUGAUAGAUUAAGUGGUAAACGAAGUGGGAAGGCACAGACAGCCAGGAUGUUGGCUUAGAAGCAGCCAUCAUUUAAAGGAAAGCGUAAUAGCUCACUGGUCGAGUCGUCCUGCGCGGAAGAUGUAACGGGGCUCAAAUCUAUAACCGAAGCUGCGGAUGCCGGUUUACCGGCAUGGUAGGGGAGCGUUCUGUAGGCUGAUGAAGGUGCAUUGUAAAGUGUGCUGGAGGUAUCAGAAGUGCGAAUGUUGACAUGAGUAGCGAUAAAGCGGGUGAAAAGCCCGCUCGCCGAAAGCCCAAGGUUUCCUACGCAACGUUCAUCGGCGUAGGGUAAGUCGGCCCCUAAGGCGAGGCAGAAAUGCGUAGUCGAUGGGAAACAGGUUAAUAUUCCUGUACUUGAUUCAAAUGCGAUGUGGGGACGGAGAAGGUUAGGUUGGCAAGCUGUUGGAAUAGCUUGUUUAAGCCGGUAGGUGGAAGACUUAGGCAAAUCCGGGUUUUCUUAACACCGAGAAGUGAUGACGAGUGUCUACGGACACGAAGCAACCGAUACCACGCUUCCAGGAAAAGCCACUAAGCUUCAGUUUGAAUCGAACCGUACCGCAAACCGACACAGGUGGGCAGGAUGAGAAUUCUAAGGCGCUUGAGAGAACUCGGGAGAAGGAACUCGGCAAAUUGAUACCGUAACUUCGGGAGAAGGUAUGCCCUCUAAGGUUAAGGACUUGCUCCGUAAGCCCCGGAGGGUCGCAGAGAAUAGGUGGCUGCGACUGUUUAUUAAAAACACAGCACUCUGCCAACACGAAAGUGGACGUAUAGGGUGUGACGCCUGCCCGGUGCCGGAAGGUUAAUUGAAGAUGUGCAAGCAUCGGAUCGAAGCCCCGGUAAACGGCGGCCGUAACUAUAACGGUCCUAAGGUAGCGAAAUUCCUUGUCGGGUAAGUUCCGACCCGCACGAAUGGCGUAACGAUGGCCACACUGUCUCCUCCCGAGACUCAGCGAAGUUGAAGUGGUUGUGAAGAUGCAAUCUACCCGCUGCUAGACGGAAAGACCCCGUGAACCUUUACUGUAGCUUUGCAUUGGACUUUGAAGUCACUUGUGUAGGAUAGGUGGGAGGCUUGGAAGCAGAGACGCCAGUCUCUGUGGAGUCGUCCUUGAAAUACCACCCUGGUGUCUUUGAGGUUCUAACCCAGACCCGUCAUCCGGGUCGGGGACCGUGCAUGGUAGGCAGUUUGACUGGGGCGGUCUCCUCCCAAAGCGUAACGGAGGAGUUCGAAGGUUACCUAGGUCCGGUCGGAAAUCGGACUGAUAGUGCAAUGGCAAAAGGUAGCUUAACUGCGAGACCGACAAGUCGGGCAGGUGCGAAAGCAGGACAUAGUGAUCCGGUGGUUCUGUAUGGAAGGGCCAUCGCUCAACGGAUAAAAGGUACUCCGGGGAUAACAGGCUGAUUCCGCCCAAGAGUUCAUAUCGACGGCGGAGUUUGGCACCUCGAUGUCGGCUCAUCACAUCCUGGGGCUGUAGUCGGUCCCAAGGGUAUGGCUGUUCGCCAUUUAAAGUGGUACGUGAGCUGGGUUUAAAACGUCGUGAGACAGUUUGGUCCCUAUCUGCAGUGGGCGUUGGAAGUUUGACGGGGGCUGCUCCUAGUACGAGAGGACCGGAGUGGACGAACCUCUGGUGUACCGGUUGUAACGCCAGUUGCAUAGCCGGGUAGCUAAGUUCGGAAGAGAUAAGCGCUGAAAGCAUCUAAGCGCGAAACUCGCCUGAAGAUGAGACUUCCUUGCGGUUUAACCGCACUAAAGGGUCGUUCGAGACCAGGACGUUGAUAGGUGGGGUGUGGAAGCGCGGUAACGCGUGAAGCUAACCCAUACUAAUUGCCCGUGAGGCUUGACUCUAU
rnacentral:rRNA from 1 species